UACGUAGGGGGCGAGCGUUGUCCGGAAUCAUUGGGCGUAAAGCGCGCGCAGGCGGCCGCGAGAGCCCGGCGUGAAAGCCCCCGGCUCAACCGGGGGAGGCCGUCGGGGACCUCGUGGCUGGAGGCCGGCAGGGGUGAGUGGAAUUCCCGGUGUAGUGGUGGAAUGCGUAGAGAUCGGGAGGAACACCAGUGGCGAAGGCGGCUCACUGGGCCGGACCUGACGCUGAGAAGCGAAAGCGUGGGGAGCGAACAGG
rnacentral:rRNA from 1 species